rnacentral:rRNA from 1 species
CUACGGGUCGCACCAGUGGGGGAUAUUGGACAAUGGGGGAAACCCUGAUCCAGCAAUGCCGCGUGUGUGAAGAAGGCCUGCGGGUUGUAAAGCACUUUCGGUUGGGAGGACUGCUUCUAGCACUAAUAUUGUUGGAAGUUGACGUUACCUUCAGAAGAAGCACCGGCUAACUCCGUGCCAGCAGCAGCGGUAAUACGGAGGGUGCAAGCGUUAAUCGGAAUUACUGGACGUAAAGCGCGCGUAGGCGGCUAGAUCAGUCGGGUGUGAAAGCCCCGGGCUUAACCUGGGAACUGCAUCCGAUACUGUCUAGCUUGAGUACAGGAGAGGAGAGUGGAAUUCCACAUGUAGCGGUGAAAUGCGUAGAUAUGUGGAGGAACACCAAUGGCGAAGGCAGCUCUCUGGCCUGAUACUGACGCUGAGGUGCGAGAGCGUGGGGAGCAAACAGGAUUAGAUACCCUGGUAGUC